CGAUGAUACGCGAGGAACCUUACCUGGGCUAGAACGCAUUCGGAAUCAGGCCGAAAGGCCUGCGCCAGCGAUGGCCGCUUGCGAGGUGCUGCAUGGUUGUCGUCAGCUCGUGCCGUGAGGUGUCGGGUUAAGUCCCAUAACGAGCGCAACCCCUACUGCUAGUUGCCAGCGGGUCAUGCCGGGGACUCUAGCGGAACUGCCAGCGUAAGCUGCGAGGAAGGUGGGGAUGACGUCAAAUCAGCACGGCCCUUACGUCCAGGGCUACACACGUGUUACAAUGGCCGGUACAGAGGGCAGCCACCCCGCGAGGGGGCGCGAAUCCCGAAAGCCGGUCCCAGUUCGGAUCGGAGUCUGCAACCCGACUCCGUGAAGCUGGAUUCGCUAGUAAUCGCGCAUCAGCCACGGCGCGGUGAAUACGUUCCCGGGCCUU
rnacentral:rRNA from 1 species